rnacentral:tRNA from 1 species
AAUUUUGUAGUUAAUAUAAAUAUAACAUUAGAAUGCAAUUCUAAAGUAAUAAUUAAAUUUAUUAAAAUUU